rnacentral:miRNA from 1 species
UAUUGCACUUCCCUAGACUG